UUCUGCAACAGUCGAAGUUCAUGGUAUCCAAUUAUGCAAACUACGAAUAUCUUACAUUUUUAACUGGAAUCAUACAAUUUCUGUUAUGUGGAACGUAUACUUUUUCUGUGCAAAACUAUAAUUUUUCUUCAUCCGUUUUAUUAUACUGUCCGAAAAAGUAUCACUGCCAAUCAAUUAAAGUAGCGGGAAAUGUAUUUAAAUGUAUUAUUCUAUUAAAUUAUGAAACUGACUAUUUUAAAUAAUAGUAUCGAACUAAAAGAUCUAAUUUGUUAAUAAAAAGCGUGUUACAUCUUGAUUUACGAUAGUUUUCUCGUUCUACGUAUAGUUACUUUGAAUUUGUGAUGUUGGCAAACAAUGUUUGGUAAUUUUUAUUAUAUUAACGGCCAGCUGUUAUCUGACAGCGUAUUAUUUAUUUUUACACACCCUUGGAGUACAUACGUUGCUCUGAACAUGAAAAUAGCAUUAGCCCAGUUACGUACUGCCAUGCCCUGCUUUCGCGUAGCAUUUCUAUAAGUGCGUGGUGACGUUUUAUCAUCAAAUAUGAUUGGACGUGUCAGCCGAGUGUAUUGCAAUCGUGUGUAUGAAAGAAAAAUAACAUUAUUUAGUUGGAAGCAAGUAUAUAGCAUACCGCACGUAUCUUGGCUGAAAGUAAUAUAUCAACAAUAUUCGACGACAUCCAGUUAUCAUCAAGCUUUCAAUUUCCCUUUCCAAAAGAGUAUGGAUAUCUUUCGAAUCAGUGAUUAUGAUUGUGUUGGGUUUGACCUGGAUAAUACAUUGUUGCGUUACAAUAUUAAUAAUAUGGUAAAUUUAGAAUAUGAAACAUUAUCUAAGUUUCUUGUAGAAAAAAAAGGAUAUGAUCCAAAGUAUCUACGUAAGCCUUUAAGUGAUCAUGAUCUUGACUUCAUGCAGAGAGGACUUAUGUUAGACUUUGACAGAGGGAAUAUUAUAAGGAUAAGCUCUAGUGGAAUGAUUCUCAGAGCUAGUCAUGGUACUAAACUAUUGAACAAUGAAGAGAUAAGAAUGGCCUAUCCUGAUCAAAGGUGGUACGUUACUGAUGCAUUCAGUAAGGAUCCACUUGCUACAUGGAAUGGUCCAUUAUCGUUGAAAAUGAGGACAGUAUUGGAUUAUUUUGAUAUGCCUGCUUCUUUAGUUUUUGCCAAAGCUGUUGAUACACUAGAUGAAAAAAAUGAAGGACCGUUAGAUAUGUACCAAAUUUGGCCUGACGUAUUAGAUGGUUUAAUCGAUAUGUUUGAUAGAGACCAUUUUCAAACUGGAGAAGGGUACUAUUUUAAAAUACUGAAAGAAAAUCCAGCAACCUAUCUCCAUAAAUGUAGCACUCAAACUGUAUCCUGGCUCAGAGAAAUAAAGAAAAGGCAAAAAACUUUCUUAAUCACUGGAUCAAAUGUAGAUUUUGCAGAUUUUACUGCAAGUUACACAUUUGGUGAUGACUGGCGAUCACUUUUUGAUAUUGUUAUUUGUUUUGCUAAAAAACCUGGAUUUUUUAUUAGCAAUAAACCGUUUCUUAAGAUCAUGGAUUAUAAAGAAAUUGGAAGUGUAACGUGUGAUGUGAUGAAACAAGGCGAAAUAUAUAACCAGGGAAAUUGGAAUGAUCUCCAUGAAUUUUUCGGUAGAAGUAUUGGUCAGAACGAUUUACGUUUCUUAUAUUUUGGCGAUAAUCUUGUGCAAGACAUCUAUACUCCAUGUGCAAAAGUUAAUUGUCAUACAGUGGCUGUCAUUGAUGAACAAAUGGCAGAAGGAAUGGUGCAUCAGAAAGAUGUUCAUCCUGAUGAAAAUGCAAUUAAUUCAAAAUUUUGGGGUUCAUAUUUUUGUUUGAAAGAUAGCACAACAAUGACUCAUGUGCAUUCUAUAUGGAGCCACAUUAUACAAAAUUACGCAAAGAUAUGUAUACCAACAAUAGACAUGAUUUCAUCAAAGCCAUUAGAUGAACCACUAAAAUCUUUCUCCACAAGCAAUAAAAACCUCUGUGGAUAUCAUCCAGAAAAACCACUUAGUAUAUCUACAUUUUAAUUUUAUAAUAAUUUAACUGCAUAUGUGAAGCAAGCUUUACAUUUGUUUCUAUUAUAUAAGUGAAGGAUACUAUAUAUAUGUAAUUCUUUUGAUAAGUACAAGCGUAGUUUAUGUAAAUUAAAACGUUCGUUAGUUAGUAUUGUGUACUAAUACGAACCACAGUAAUAUUAGAAAUAGGUAUAGAAUAAUAAAGAAAUAUUAGUAUAUUAGGUACUUUUAUAAAUUACUUCAGAAUGAAAUUUUUAAUUUUUGCCAGUGUUAGCAUUGAAGUUGUGCAGUACUUCGAUAAUACUAUUAUGCUCAAUUACUAUGGAUUUGCUCAUCAACAUUAUUGUUCCAAUAUACCGAUUAUGCCUGCUAUUAAGAAGCAGUUACAACAGCACAAAGGCCUUCCUCGAGAUGAUAAAAGUGUAAAACCUACGUUUAAAACGAAACGGGCACAGAAUAGACAUCACGAAGGUAUGAUGGCUGUACAGCAUAUUAUGAAGAGUCGAAAUCAAAAGAAAUCUGAAGACGAAGACGAAGAUAGUGCAGUCAAUUAAGUUUCAGGGCCACAGGUAUGGCCUCACAGUAAAAUGUGUUAAAUUUUUUAUAAUGUGCGCAUUUGUUCCUUUACGUUGCAAUGAAAUAUUGUGAAUUGUUAAUGAAUAUAUCAAUUAAAUUAAAAUUGUAUACCCCCUUAAAUCUUUGUGUCGAAUUAUAAGAUCUACUGUUUAAGCUGAUUAGGAAAGGAAACUCUCUCAUGAGGAAUAUUGUACAUUGCACAUCAGUCGAUAAAUAUUUUGAAAUACAUAGAUUUAUUUCUGUA